UAACAUAUAGUCAAAAAUGUCUAGCAAUUAUAUCCCUUGCCCUAUAGGUAAUCUUUUUAAAAUUUUUAUUUUAUGAUUUGCCUUUCCCUGGUUUUAUUUUUAAUAUAAUCAAACGGGUAUUCUUCGAGAAAUGGAAGCAUUUAACUUAACAUAUCAUGGAGAUUAGCUCACAGUAGUGGGUAAAGAUAUCCUUCAUUUUUUUAAUAACAUCUUUCAUAACUUUCUGUUUUCUCUGAAGUUAAUAAUAGUUCUUGCUUUCCAUUUCUUCUCUCUCUCUUUUUUUUAGUUUGGCCUAUUUUUAAGAUAUUUAUCACCAAUUUAUAUUCACACACUCUCCAGUCAUCUAAAUCUUUUCUCAAUGUAUUGAAGCACAUCCAGUAUUCAAUCAAGUUCACCUUCUUUGAUUCGUUCUCUGAGUCUGCUAUCUGCUGUCAUCUGGAUGGAUAACUCCCCUAGCCUACUGCACAGCUGUCAUCCCACCCCUUACAUUCUCCCUUCACUAUCACUCUGGGCAUUUCUUCCUUUUAUUUAAAAUCAUCUGCUUACUGGUUCCCCUGUCAUCUUCUUUCUUGCUUUACUCCCUCAUUUAGAUAAAGCAUAUGUAACUCCUUUAGCUUGUUACCGUGAUGAGGUUCAUAACUCUUAUUCACUCUGCUUCAUCUACUGUCACCCAAAGAUGGGGAUAUCAUUGGAGCAUCAUUCCAAUGGCUUGUUAUUACCCAAGGUAUCCCAUGAUGUGCUUUCAUAUGGCUCUUAAAGUAUGUAAUGUAGAAAUACUUCACAACGUGAUUCGAAUUCUACUCUUACUCAAGAAGGCCGUGACUUCAGGCUGUCUCCAUGACAAUCAACUAGAAAAUCAUUUGCUCCAAGUUCAGAUAGCUCCUUUGCCUACUGAGAGUAGUUUCUGAUAUAGUAGAAGCAAAGCCUUGCAACAGACUGAAAAGACUUGAAAGCUAUUUUGUGUACACAGUAGAAGUGUGAAACCCAGCCUAAACAAAGUCUUGGACGUGUCCGAAGAUCUCAGCGUGUGGUUGUUUGCAUCAGCCUGUCGGUGCACCUGUGGGGAUGAUGCGAGUGUAUGACAAGUAGGAUAUCUUGAUGCCAAUAGAGCAUGAUUCUCUCAUACAGGUAAACUAAAAUUCCCAGGCUGAGUUUAAAAUAAUGAGGGGUAGAAGCUACUUGUAUUUAAAGCAAGCAAGCAAGCGAACAAACAAAUAACACUAACAAAAUCAUUGUUAAAUGAGAGAUGCAUGCAUGUGUGCAUGAAUAGAUGCAGCAGGAAAAAGAGAAAAGGGAUUCACUGGCAGGCUUUGCUUAUGUGUUUCAGUCGUGUACAGGGUUUGUGGUUUAUAACAUCAUCAGGGUGGUACAAUAGCAUUAUAUCCCGGAGAGUUGUGCAGUUAUCUCUCCCUUUCUCUUUCUUUUCUUUGCAUACAAUGGAGGAUCUAAGCCUGGAUCCAUGCCCUGCCCAGGACAUUUCCUCUUUGUGGCAUGUGAGCCAUUACCGAAGCUAAGAUUUACUGCUUUGGGGAUCGGUUCAGAACAAAUGUUCCAAACAGCCGUCUGCCUCGGGCGAGGGAAAUAAUAUAUAUGUCUACCUCUGGUGAGCUGAAGAAAUGGGAUAUUUGCUUCCCGGAGAGACAGGUGUUGUGAACAUGCACAGAUCUAAAAGAGAGAAAAGACAAAAAGUCCAUGAAAGCUGGAGACAAAGAAUAAACGCAAUGUUUGUUUUGAAGCAACAAAAAAAAGAAAGAAAAAAAAGCUUGUCUGUCUGAAGGUUUUGAUACCACAAAGCCUCUUCAGGGUCUCAGAGCAAGAUGCAGCAUGCAGACCAGGAGAAACAGCCCCCAGGGCCAGCCCUCUAAGCCGCCGCAGUAGAACCUUGGAGGUGGGGGCAGGUAAGCGUCAAGGGAACAAUGAGGAGGGGAGCAGGUGAACGUAGCCUGGCUUCACCUGGAUGUCCUGAAACAAUUAGGGAACUUCUAUCCUUAAAGACUCUCCUUUGGAAAGAUAAAGGGAACUCUGUUGUUAUGUGACUACCGUCACGUUCUGAAAUGCCAUGUGAUGCGAAUUUUUCAUUUCCUGGGCUACCAUUCCACCCAAAUCAGAUUUUGCACAGCACGCUUGUUAACAAAGUCAGUCCCCUUGAUUGGUGGCUUUUAAGUAAGGAAACUUUCUAAUUUUUAAAAACACAUUAGCAAAGGAAUUUAUUCUCAGAUAAGGCAGAGUGAAGUGGCAGAGUAAACAUAAUGACUUAAAGGAAAGCAGCCUUUAAACCACACACACACACAGAGGCGAAUAAGAGAUUCGAAAUAAUUUCUUUAAUCUGGUGGUGAGACUUUGGCAAAUAUGUUUUGGCUGCAUCAUUUCUAAAGCAGUUACUUCUAACAAAAUUUAAAUUAUUUGUUCCCCCCCUUUGACAGUCUAUUUUUGUCUUUUUUAUUAUAUAGGUAAUACACAAAUAUAAUAUUAUUGUAAAAAAUUCAAAGAAUACUUUCAUCCCGCUCCUCCCAGCCCUCGCCCCACAGAUGCGAUCAUGCACGCUGUCUUCCCCCUUUAGAGGCAAGUGACUACUGUCAGAAGUGUUCUCUGUACCUUUUCUUUUUUUUGAGGAAGAUUAGCCCUGAGCUAACAUCU